rnacentral:rRNA from 1 species
AUGUGCGAAUACUCAGGCGAGUCAAAUGAUCCUCAGCGGUACAACUCUGAUAAUUUUAUUGAUGAUGAAAUCAAUCAAACUGUAAAGAGUCUGCUAUGGGAAUCUCAAGAAAACUGUAACAAAACAGGGUUGUUGCCAUUCUUCAAGCUCAACCCGGCCCCACCUCCCGGCUCUUCUUUUUGGAAUAAGAAGAAGAAAACUGCAGUGGCCAAAUCUAAGAACACACCAAUUCGAAAAAAGAACAAGGAAGCUGAUGUGAAUGAGCCAGCUGCUAUUGGCGGGUCAGUAGAAGCUGAAGAUUAA